rnacentral:rRNA from 1 species
AACGUAGGGGGCGAGCGUUGUCCGGAAUUACUGGGCGUAAAGGGCGUGUAGGCGGCUAGGUAAGUCAGGUGUGAAAACUUUUGGCUCAACCAGGAGAUUGCACCUGAAACUUCGUAGCUUGAGGGUAGGAGAGGAAAGUGGAAUUCCUAGUGUAGCGGUGAAAUGCGUAGAUAUUAGGAGGAACACCAGUGGCGAAGGCGGCUUACUGGACACUAACUGACGCUGAGGCACGAAAGCAUGGGGAGCAAACAGGAUUAGAUACCCGGGUAGUCCCUGAGCGGGCU